UUCCUACGGGGCGCAGCAGUGAGGAAUAUUGGUCAAUGGGCUUACGCCUGAACGAGCAAUGCCGCGUGAACGAGGAAGGUCUUCGGAUCGUAAAGUUCUGUUGAAGGGGAAAAAGAGCGGAGAGAGGAAAUGGUCUCCGAUUGAUAUUACCCUUCGAGGAAGUCACGGCUAACUACGUGCCAGCAGCCGCGGUAAUACGUAGGUGGCGAGCGUUAUCCGGAAUGAUUGGGCGUAAAGGGUGCGUAGGCGGCCUGCUAAGUCUGGAGUGAAAGGUACCGGCUCAACCGGUACAGGCUCUGGAAACU
rnacentral:rRNA from 1 species